ensembl:lncRNA
CUACCCCUAAUAUAGCGUGGUGGGAGAGCCGAAGGAAUACUUAUUGAAGUAGUCACAACGACGACAUCACUAGCUAGGCCGCAUAUUCCAUCGCCAGAUCCGAACCAAGCGAAGUGAAGGAAGACGGGUGUCCUUUUCGUACACUGAGUGUGGUGGGUGAGUCUUCAUGCUGUGAAAACCUAUAAUUUUGACGUGGUGCUGUAUAUUGCUGUGGGCUGCUGUGUAUUGCCGUGUGUCCUGUCAGAUAAACCCCCGCCUUCACGCACUUCGUCGCGGGAGGACAAGGAGACUGCUGGUCCUAGCCUAGUUCAGUACAGUAUAUGUUGUGAGCGUGCUUCAGAUCUCCGGAGAUAGCACGGUACGCUGUGUCCAGCCCAGAGGUGAGAGCCAUUCAAAGCAAACUAACUGUGUUAUUGUGCCCAAGUUGAUACCUGUGGAGAGAAAAGGAGAGAGAUUGAUACCUGUGGAGAGAAAAGGAGAGAGAGUGGGUAACACGAGGAGAGACCGAGGAAACCUGUACUUACGCCGCUGCCUGUGGAGAAAGAGAAAGCGACCGUUGCCUGUGGAGGAAGAGAAAGAGAGUGAGCACCUCGAGAACGAACUGUGUGAACCAGUACUUACCGUGAGCUGUAUUCAGCGAAGAGGAGGAAGAAGGAGGGCGCUACGGAUACCUAAGACUCAGGCCGGGGCCCGAGUCCCACGCCCCGGAUCCCCGUGGCCCCCUUGCUCCCUGACCUCUUCCCGGCCAUAGCCCAUCUGGAGGGCCGAGUCAGAGUUUAGUUUUAAUUGCCCUUUCCCUAUUCCCCAAGC